rnacentral:tRNA from 1 species
GGUUCCGUAGCUCAGCAGGAUAGAGCAGCGGUUUCCUAAACCGAAGGUCAGGGGUUCGAAUCCCUUCGGGACCGCCA